GCCGCCACCUGUUACUGGGCCCACAACUCAUCUUCCCUUCCUCUCUAGCCUAUGCCCUCUCUCUCUCUAGGCAUCCUUCCUUGGAGCCAAAAGAGGGGUGGGCGGCAUCAUAGGAGCUGGUGUCAAUUGUUGGAACCACUUGCUCUUGGUUUGUUUCCUUCUAUCUCAGGUUUGUUGAGAGUUAGUUACAACUACUUUUUAAUUGUUAUUCUUUUUGGUUAGUUGAGAGAUCAAAAAAGAUUCUUGAUUUCUUCAAGAAUCAAGAAAGAAAGAUCAAAAAGAUCCAUAAAGGGUUUAUCCCUACCCA
rnacentral:lncRNA from 1 species